UACGUAGGGACCAAGCGUUGUUCGGAUUUACUGGGCGUAAAGGGCGCGUAGGCGGCGCGGUAAGUCACUUGUGAAAUCUCUGAGCUUAACUCAGAACGGCCAAGUGAUACUGCAGUGCUAGAGUGUGGAAGGGGCAAUCGGAAUUCUUGGUGUAGCGGUGAAAUGCGUAGAUAUCAAGAGGAACACCGAUGGCGAAGGCAGGUCUCUGGGCCGAUACUGACGCUGAGGAGCGAAAGCGUGGGGAGCGAACAGG
rnacentral:rRNA from 1 species